AGGACGAACGCUGGCGGCGUGCUUAACACAUGCAAGUCGAGCGGAAAGGCCACUUCGGUGGUACUCGAGCGGCGAACGGGUGAGUAACACGUGAGUAAUCUGCCCUCCACUUUGGGAUAGCCACCGGAAACGGUGAUUAAUACCGGAUAUGACCUCGGCCCGCAUGGGUUGUGGUGGAAAGUUUUUCGGUGGGGGAUGUGCUCGCGGCCUAUCAGCUUGAUGGUGGGGUAAUGGCCUACCAUGGCUUCGACGGGUAGCCGGCCUGAGAGGGUGACCGGCCACACUGGGACUGAGACACGGCCCAGACUCCUACGGGAGGCAGCAGUGGGGAAUAUUGGACAAUGGGCGAAGCCUGAUCCAGCAACGCCGCGUGAGGGAUGACGGCCUUCGGGUUGUAAACCGUCUUUCAGCACAGACGAAGCGAAAGUGACGUAUGUGCAGAAGAAGCACCGGCCAACUACGUGCCAGCAGCCG
rnacentral:rRNA from 1 species